UCAUUCAUUAAUUCCGUAGAGUUUUAGGGAUUGAUUUGUGCAAUUUAUUAGGGUAGUAGUUAACAAUAUCUAUGUUUAGGCAAGUAAUUAGUGCAAUAUCUUAAUUGUUAAUAAAAAAUUUGGUCAUUGUUCUAAAGAAAAUAUCUUGUCUGAUUGAUUUUGUAGGGACUAAACAUACAAUAUCAAAAUU
rnacentral:sRNA from 1 species